AUGCUCCUGCUGCUCAUCCCAGUGCUUGAGAUGAUUUUUGCCCUGAGAGGCUCAGGAGCCCAGUCGGUGACCCAGCCCGACGCCCAAGUCUCUGUCCCUGAAGGAUCCUCGCUGGAGCUGAAGUGCAACUACUCCAUUUCUGUUCCACCAUACCUCUUCUGGUACGUCCAGUACCCCAACCAAGGCCUGCAGCUUAUCCUUAAAUACACAUCUGGAAAGAGCAGUGUUUCAGGCAUCAAAGGUUUUAAUGCUGAAUUUGAAAAGGAAAAAACCUCUUUCCACCUGAGGAAGCCCACUGGAGUGACUCAGCCCAGUACUUCUGUGCUGUGAGUGGCACAGUGCCUGGGGCUGCAGGGGGAGCUGAGCACAAACCUGCUGAGAUCCUGGGGCUUUCUCUGACUUAG